ACGGGAGGCAGCAGCUAAGAAUAUUCCGCAAUGGACGCAAGUCUGACGGAGCGACGCCGCGUGGAUGAUGAAGGUCGGAAGAUUGUAAAAUCCUUUUAUGACUGAGGAAUAAGUAAGGUGAGAGAAACGCCUUAUGGUGACUGUAGGUCAUGAAUAAGCAACGGCUAAUUACGUGCCAGCAGCCGCGGUAACACGUAAGUUGCGAGCGUUGUUCGGAAUUAUUGGGCGUAAAGGGCAUGUAGGCGGUUUUGCAAGCUUGGUGUGAAAUCUCGGAGCUCAACUCCGAAAUUGCGUUGAGAACUGCAUGACUAGAGUCACUGAGGGGCAAUCAGAAUUCCAGGUGUAGGGGUGAAAUCUGUAGAUAUCUGGAAGAAUACCAAUGGCGAAGGCAGGUUACCAGCAGAUGACUGACGCUGAGGUGCGAAGGUGCGGGGAGCAAACAGGAUUAGAUACCCUGGUA
rnacentral:rRNA from 1 species